rnacentral:tRNA from 1 species
CGGGGAUUAGUUCAGAUGGCCAGAACGUACGCUUUGGGAGCGUAAGGUCGCCGGUUCAAGUCCGGCAUCCCCGACCA